rnacentral:rRNA from 1 species
GAUGAACGCUGGCGGCGUGCCUAAUACAUGCAAGUCGAGCGAACGGACGAGAAGCUUGUUUCUCUGAUGUUAGCGGCGGACGGGUGAGUAACACGUGGAUAACCUACCUAUAAGACUGGGAUAACUUCGGGAAACCGGAGCUAAUACCGGAUAAUAUUUUGAACCGCAUGGUUCAAAAGUGAAAGACGGUCUUGCUGUCACUUAUAGAUGGAUCCGCGCUGCAUUAGCUAGUUGGUAAGGUAACGGCUUACCAAGGCAACGAUGCAUAGCCGACCUGAGAGCGUGAUCGGCCACACUGGAACUGAGACACGGUCCAGACUCCUACGGGAGGCAGCAGUAGGGAAUCUUCCGCAAUGGGCGAAAGCCUGACGGAGCAACGCCGCGUGAGUGAUGAAGGUCUUCGGAUCGUAAAACUCUGUUAUUAGGGAAGAACAUAUGUGUAAGUAACUGUGCACAUCUUGACGGUACCUAAUCAGAAAGCCACGGCUAACUACGUG